CACGUAGGGGGCGAGCGUUGUCCGGAUUUAUUGGGCGUAAAGGGCUCGUAGGCGGCUCAGUAAGUCGGGUGUGAAACCUCCAGGCUCAACCUGGAGACGCCACUCGAUACUGCUGUGGCUAGAGUCCGGUAGGGGAGCAUGGAAUUCCUGGUGUAGCGGUGAAAUGUGUAGAGAUCGGGAGGAACACCGGUGGCGAAGGCGGGUCUCUGGGCAAUUCCUGACGCUGAGGCGCGAAAGCGUGGGGAGCAAACGGG
rnacentral:rRNA from 1 species